rnacentral:rRNA from 1 species
AUAUGGAGAGGGCAAGUCUGGUGUCAGCCGCCGCGGUAAUACCAGCUCUCCGAGUGGUGUGGAUGUUUAUUGGGCCUAAAGCAUCCGUAGCNGGNUAAGUUAGUCCCCUGUUAAAUCCACCGAAUUAAUCGUUGGAUUGCGGGGGAUACUGCUUGGCUAGGGGACGAGAGAGGCAGACGGUAUUUCCGGGGUAGGGGUGAAAUCCUAUAAUCCCGGGAAGACCACCAGUGGCGAAGGCUGUCUGCUAGAACGCGCCCGACGGUGAGGGAUGAAAGCUGGGGGAGCGAACCGGAUUAGAUACCCGGGUAGUCCCAGCUGUAAACGAUGCAGACUAGGUGUUUGAACGGCAACGUGCCGUUCUAGUGCCGCAGGGAAGCUGUUAAGUCUGCCGCCUGGGGAGUACGAUCGUAAGAUUGAAACUUAAAGGAAUUGGCGGGGGAGCACCACAAGGGGUGAAGCUUGCGGUUUAAUUGGAUUCAAC